rnacentral:rRNA from 1 species
CGCGUAGGCGGUUAAAUCAGUCAGAUGUGAAAUCCCCGAGCUUAACUUGGGAAUUGCAUUUGAUACUGUUUGACUAGAAUGUGGUAGAGGGUAGCGGAAUUUCUGGUGUAGCGGUGAAAUGCGUAGAGAUCUGGAGGAAUACCGAUUGCGAAGGCAGCCCCCUGGACAGUGACUGACGCUCAUAUGCGAAAGCGUGGGGAUCAAACAGGAUUAGAUACCCUCGUA